AGGCUGAGCUGUGAUGGGGAGAAGACAUUGUGUCUUCGAGUCGUUGAUUUCACACUGCCGAGAAAAGCCUCUAGAUAGAAAAUAGGUGCCCGUACCGCAAACCGACACAGGUAGUCAAGAUGAGAAUUCUAAGGUGAGCGAGCGAACUCUCGUUAAGGAACUCGGCAAAAUGACCCCGUAACUUCGGGAGAAGGGGUGCUCUUUAGGGUUAACGCCCAGAAGAGCCGCAGUGAAUAGGCCCAAGCGACUGUUUAUCAAAAACACAGGUCUCUGCUAAACCGUAAGGUGAUGUAUAGGGGCUGACGCCUGCCCGGUGCUGGAAGGUUAAGAGGAGUGGUUAGCUUCUGCGAAGCUACGAAUCGAAGCCCCAGUAAACGGCGGCCGUAACUAUAACGGUCCUAAGGUAGCGAAAUUCCUUGUCGGGUAAGUUCCGACCCGCACGAAAGGCGUAACGAUUUGGGCACUGUCUCAACGAGAGACUCGGUGAAAUCAUAGUACCUGUGAAGAUGCAGGUUACCCGCGACAGGACGGAAAGACCCCGUGGAGCUUUACUGUAGCCUGAUAUUGAAAUUCGGCACAGCUUGUACAGGAUAGGUAGGAGCCUUUGAAACGUGAGCGCUAGCUUACGUGGAGGCGCUGGUGGGAUACUACCCUAGCUGUGUUGGCUUUCUAACCCGCACCACUUAUCGUGGUGGGAGACAGUGUCAGGCGGGCAGUUUGACUGGGGCGGUCGCCUCCUAAAAGGUAACGGAGGCGCUCAAAGGUUCCCUCAGAAUGGUUGGAAAUCAUUCAUAGAGUGUAAAGGCAUAAGGGAGCUUGACUGCGAGACCUACAAGUCGAGCAGGGUCGAAAGACGGACUUAGUGAUCCGGUGGUUCCGCAUGGAAGGGCCAUCGCUCAACGGAUAAAAGCUACCCCGGGGAUAACAGGCUUAUCUCCCCCAAGAGUUCACAUCGACGGGGAGGUUUGGCACCUCGAUGUCGGCUCAUCGCAUCCUGGGGCUGUAGUCGGUCCCAAGGGUUGGGCUGUUCGCCCAUUAAAGCGGUACGCGAGCUGGGUUCAGAACGUCGUGAGACAGUUCGGUCCCUAUCCGUCGUGGGCGUAGGAAAUUUGAGAGGAGCUGUCCUUAGUACGAGAGGACCGGGAUGGACAUACCUCUGGUGUACCAGUUGUCGUGCCAACGGCAUAGCUGGGUAGCUAUGUGUGGACGGGAUAAGUGCUGAAAGCAUCUAAGCAUGAAGCCCCCCUCAAGAUGAGAUUUCCCAACUUCGGUUAUAAGAUCCCUCAAAGAUGAUGAGGUUAAUAGGUUCGAGGUGGAAGCAUGGUGACAUGUGGAGCUGACGAAUACUAAUCGAUCGAAGACUUAAUCAAAUU
rnacentral:rRNA from 4 species